rnacentral:rRNA from 1 species
AACGAACGCUGGCGGCAUGCCUAACACAUGCAAGUCGAACGCCCCGCAAGGGGAGUGGCGAACGGGUGAGUAACGCGUGGGAACCUACCCAGCAGUUGGGGAUAACCGCGGGAAACUGCGGCUAAUACCGAAUACGUCCUAAGGGAGAAAGAUUUAUCGCUGUUGGAGGGGCCCGCGUCGGAUUAGCUAGUUGGUGAGGUAACGGCUCACCAAGGCGACGAUCCGUAGCUGGUCUGAGAGGAUGAUCAGCCACACUGGGACUUAGACACGGCCCAGACUCCUACGGGAGGCAGCAGUGGGGAAUAUUGGACAAUGGGGGCAACCCUGAUCCAGCAAUGCCGCGUGAGUGAUGAAGGCCUUAGGGUUGUAAAGCUCUUUUACCGGGGACGAUGAUGACGGUACCCGGAGAAUAAGCCCCGGCUAACUUCGUGCCAGCCGCCGCCGUAACAC